GUCAUGUUCCAAAGUUGUCCACCAACUUAAUAUCCAUUCAAAAGCUCACACAUGAAAUGAAUUGUAAUGUUAUUUUUAAUCCUUCUCAUUGUGUUUUUCAGAACCGAUCAGGUUUCGGAGAAGAAGAUUGGACUUGCUAAGGAAAGAAAUGGGCUCUACUAUCUUGAAGAAUCAAGCAAAUCACAUAUGGUCAAGAACAAUUUAUCUAUGUUAUUUCUUUCAUCAUCCAAUAAAGACACUAUUUUGCUUCAUAAUCUUAGACUAGGGCACCCAUCUUUUGGAAUUUUGAAAACUACGUUCCCUACUUUGUUUAGAAAUCUAGGUGCUGAACAAUUUCAUUGUGAUGCAUGUGAAUUUGCUAAACAUAAACGUGUACCUUUUCCAAUCAGCAAUAAGAAAAG
rnacentral:lncRNA from 1 species